AGGGGCGGCCGUCUAUAAUGCAAGUCGAGCGGAGUUUUGAAAGCUUGCUUUUCAAAACUUAGCGGCGGACGGGUGAGUAACACGUGGGCAACCUGCCCUUGAGACGGGGAUAACUCCGGGAAACCGGAGCUAAUACCGGAUAACACAUAUCUUCGCAUGAGGAUAUGUUAGAAGGUGGCUUUUAGCUACCACUCAAGGAUGGGCCCGCGGCGCAUUAGCUAGUUGGUGAGGUAACGGCUCACCAAGGCGACGAUGCGUAGCCGACCUGAGAGGGUGAUCGGCCACACUGGGACUGAGACACGGCCCAGACUCCUACGGGAGGCAGCAGUAGGGAAUCUUCCGCAAUGGACGAAAGUCUGACGGAGCAACGCCGCGUGAGUGAUGAAGGUUUUCGGAUCGUAAAGCUCUGUUGUUAGGGAAGAACAAGUACCUGUUAAAUAAGCAGGUACCUUGACGGUACCUAACCAGAAAGCCACGGCUAACUACGUGCCAGCAGCCGCGGUAAUACGUAGGUGGCAAGCGUUGUCCGGAAUUAUUGGGCGUAAAGCGCGCGCAGGCGGUUCCUUAAGUCUGAUGUGAAAGCCCACGGCUCAACCGUGGAGGGUCAUUGGAAACUGGGGAACUUGAGUGCAGAAGAGGAGAGCGGAAUUCCACGUGUAGCGGUGAAAUGCGUAGAGAUGUGGAGGAACACCAGUGGCGAAGGCGGCUCUCUGGUCUGUAACUGACGCUGAGGCGCGAAAGCGUGGGGAGCGAACAGGAUUAGAUACCCUGGUAGUCCACGCCGUAAACGAUGAGUGCUAAGUGUUAGAGGGUUUCCGCCCUUUAGUGCUGCAGCAAAACGCAUUAAGCACUCCGCCUGGGGGAGUACGGUCGCAAGACUGAAACUCAAAGGAAUUUGACGGGGACCCGCACAAGCGGUGGGAGCAUGUGGUUUAAUUCGAAGCAACGCGAAGAACCUUACCAGGUCUUGACAUCCUCUGCUACUUCUAGAGAUAGAAAGGUUCCCUUUCGGGACAAGUGACAGGUGGUGCAUGGUUGUCCUCACUCGUGUCUGAAAUGUUUUGGUUUAAUUCCGGCAAC
rnacentral:rRNA from 1 species